CCUACGGGUGGCUGCAGUGGGGAAUAUUGGGCAAUGGGCGCAAGCCUGACCCAGCAACGCCGCGUGAAGGAAGAAGGCUCUCGGGUUGUAAACUUCUUUUCUCACGGACGAAACAAGUGACGGUACCUGAGGAAUAAGCCACGGCUAACUACGUGCCAGCAGCCACGGUAAUACGUAGGUGGCAGGCGUUAUCCGGAUUUACUGGGUGUAAAGGGCGUGUAGGCGGGAAAGAAAGUCAGAUGUGAAAACGAUGGGCUCAACCCCGGGCCUGCAUUUAAAACUGUUUUACUAGAGUACUGGAGGGGCAGGCGGAAUGUAUGGUGUAGCGGUGAAAUGCGUAGAGAUUA
rnacentral:rRNA from 1 species